GCCCCCUCUGUCUCCCGUCCCCGGGGGGUCGGCCUCCGGGCCUGAGCACGCUGCCCCUCGUCUGCACUGCGGUCUCUGGCCUGGGUCCGGCGGCCGCGGCUGAGGGCCGGCUUCUCCUUCACGUUGCCUUCCCACAUUCGGGUUUUGUUCGCCCCUCACUUCCGGGUGCCGCGGGUCUUGAGACAGAUUGGAGCAUCUUGGGCCGCAAUUUCCACCUGCAGUUGUCUGUUGUGACUCUACUGACUUGUGGUGAAGAUGCCCACUAGGCGAUCCAGCUGUAGCACGAUUGCCUUGAAGGAUUUGCCCUCUGCUCGGCAGCCAUGUGCACCACAUUACUCUCACGACAUUACCAAGGUGGAAGUCGUCAGCCUCACGUCAGAGGGUGAGGUCCAUGCUGGGCUGGGUCUGCUACAGCUGCCUGCAGGCCCGUGCCUGGCUCUGGCAUCCACGCCUGAGCUUCCUUGCCCCUGCCCAGCCUCUGCUGCUUGCCAAGGAGGUGCAGAGACAUUUGGUGAUGCUCACCAGGGCAGCAGGCCCAUGGGGAGGUGCUGCGUGCUCAGGUGUUGUACUCCCCGUGGGUUUGGGAAGAUUUCUGGGCAUUUACCUCGGUCCCAGUAUUUGCUCUGCUGUGCAUGGGGCAGGGCCUGGCUCUGGUUCUCUUUGUUACUGAAGCUCCGUAUUUCAGCAUGUCUGGGGCUGGUUCCUCCCUCAGUAUGUUUCUCCCCCUGAGUUUUUCUCCAUGCUUUCAAACCAGCUCGUGACGCUGCCUGGUUCUGAGGGUGUGGCCUGCCAUCCACUGGGAUUUGUGUCUCUCCCGGGUGUCCCUCUGCCUGCGGGCUGCCAUGUCCCCCAGUGUCCUGUGUCCUCUCUGCACCCUCAGGUGAGCGUCUCCGUCCCUUCCCGAGCCCUUGCCCUCUCUGCUGUGCUGUGGGCUUCAGCAUCUUCCUCCUCCUCGGUGCAUCUUCCCGUUCACAGUCACGAGGCGGCCCCCUGGGACAGCAGUGACAGUGUGUCCCUGCCCGGGCACGGGGCAGACGCUUGGGUGGAGGAUUUUCACCUGCUCUGCUCCCCGGAGUUUCCCAAGGGCCCAGGACAGGCCUGGC
rnacentral:lncRNA from 1 species